AGGGCCACGUGUCGGAUUUAUUGGGCGUAAGGGCUCGUAGGUGGUUGAUCGCGUCGGAAGUGUAAUCUUGGGGCUUAACCCUGAGCGUGCUUUCGAUACGGGUUGACUUGAGGAAGGUAGGGGAGAAUGGAAUUCCUGGUGGAGCGGUGGAAUGCGCAGAUAUCAGGAGGAACACCAGUGGCGAAGGCGGUUCUCUGGGCCUUUCCUGACGCUGAGGAGCGAAAGCGUGGGGAGCGAACAGGCUUAGAUACCCUGGUAGUCCACGCUGUAAACGGUGGGUACUAGGUGUGGGGUCCAUUCCACGGGUUCCGUGCCGUAGCUAACGCUUUAAGUACCCCGCCUGGGGAGUACGGCCGCAAGGCUAAAACUCAAAGGAAUUGACGGGGCCCCGCACAGGCGGCGGAGCAUGCGGAUUAAUUCGAUGCAACGCGUAGAACCUUACCUGGGUUUGACAUGGAUCGGGAGUGCUCAGAGAUGGGUGUGCCUCUUUUGGGGUCGGUUCACAGGUGGUGCAUGCCUGUCGUCAGCUCGUGUCGUGAGAUGUUGGGUUAAGUCCCGCAACGAGCGCAACCCUUGUUCACUGUUGCCAGCACGUUAUGGUGGGGACUCAGUGGAGACCGCCGGGGUCAACUCGGAGGAAGGUGGGGAUGACGUCAAGUCCUCAUGCCCCUUAUGUCCAGGGCUUCACGCAUGCUACAAUGGCUGGUACAGAGAGUGGCGAGCCUGUGAGGGUGAGCGAAUCUCGGAAAGCCGGUCUCAGUUCGGAUUGGGGUCUGCAACUCGACCUCAUGAAGUCGGAGUCGCUAGUAAUCGCAGAUCAGCAACGCUGCGGUGAAUACGUUCCCGGGGCUUGUACACACCGCCCGUCAAGUCAUGAAAGUUGGUAACACCCGAAGCCGGUGGCCUAACCGUUGUGGGGAGCCGUCGAAUGUGGGACUGGUGAUUAGACU
rnacentral:rRNA from 1 species